AGACGAGGUCAUCCUUUACAACAUCGCAACGGUAGUAGGUGACCAAGUUCACCCUAAACAACAUUGCCUAAUCGUGGUGACGAGCCUCCAUGUCCCAUUCCAAUACGACUGCUGAACUAGUGAAACGGUGAAUUUGGUUUUGAACAAAAACUAGGGAUGCACCGAAUUUCCGGCCACCGAAAUUUUUUGGCCGAAAAUGGCCCAAGAGCGCAAUUUCAGUUUUCGGCCGAAAUACUUUUGUCACCAAAACAACACGGCCGAAACAGAAAUUUGUGAUGACGCAAACAAAAAGCACGGCCAGCAUACGCUUGUCUGGAUAAGCGCCAAUAUGUCUGCGGUGUGGACGUUUUUCAAUGUUUCUGAGAAAGACCCACGUAUAGCGAUUUGCAAAAAUUGCAAUGCCUUGAUUUUAAUGAAGUUAGUACACAGUCAUAGCUAGUGGUGCAACGGUUCACGGGUUUCCCGUGAUCCGUACGGAUCAACCCUCAACCAUCAAAGGUUCGGGACGCAAGUGAUCCGUGUAUCGGCUGAUAAAAAAAAAAAAAAAUUGUGCUGAUCAGCGCAUGUUUAAAGGACAAUUCCGGUAUUAACAACAUCAAGUAUCGUAGCGAAAUACAGUUUCUGUUGUAAUUUAUUUGGCGUUCCGUAAAUCCCAUUGAAAUGGGAACCGGAAGCGGACAUGUUUAUGUUUGGUUGUAGACUUUUUGCUCGGUUCUCCACAUCAACAGCAGGGCUAGAGCCGAGCGAAAAGACUACAACCAACCUCCCUUGCAAUGAGCAAUGAAAUCAAUGGAUUUACAAAAUGCCAAAUAAAACAUAACAGAAACUGUAUUUCGCUACCAUACUUGAUGAAAAAAAAGAAGAUGAGGAUAUCUGCAUUGCCUUGGGAUAGUGUAGACUCUAAACUCUCCCCAGGCAAUGCAGACAUCCUGAAUUGUAAAGCCGGGUUAGGGAUUAUUUACUAUCCAUGUUAAAAAGAAGGAAUAAUGCCUCAGAAUGCAAUUUUUAUAAAUAUUGACUAUGCUUAAAGGAAGCAGGAUUAUUACCUAAUUUUUCACUUUAUUUUGUUUUUACACGUUUGAAGACUUUAUUUAAAGUCACAUUUGUCUUGUUAUCUUUAUUGUUGUUGUUGAUCCGAAAAUGAUACGACCCGAUGACUGGGUCAUCAAUGAUGACCCAGUUUUGUGAUCCGUUUCACCCCUAGUCAUAGCCAUAAAUGCAAUGGUACUAGGGUUGCCGCGGUGUGGACAUUUUCACAACGAGUAGCCAAAUACACUCGUGUCAACACCGGUAUUACGGACUAUAAAUGGUAUAAACUUUGAAACUAGGUCAACCGCCUUGGUUUCCUCAGGUUUCGGUUUCGGCCAAGAAUUUUCAUUUCGGUGCAUCCCUACUAAAAACCAAAGUGCAAUAUCACGUAGGCUCUGUGAGGAGGAAGGCCGUGUCUUUCUGAUCCGCUCUUGGUCCGAAAUGAAUUUGCACUGUAGCAUUAGAGCAAUUGAUUCUGGUCAUCCGCUGUUGUUUAUAGGGCACAAGCUAUAUCGUUUGCAUAAUGACGCUGUACGGUAGAUGUAUUCUGUCACUAAUAACGUGUGUGUGUGUGUUUUUCUACCAUUGAUGGUGGAUAUCUCCAAUUUAAUAAAAAAAAUUGAUGAACAAUGAACAGUAAGUACCUGUCUCAGAAUUAGAUAAAAAGGUAAAUAUAAUCUGAAGCAAUUAGAGGCUUCUUCGAUCAGUCUGAUCUUGGAAAUUGCAUGAACUUGUGGAACUGCUGGAAGCAUUUAAUGGUUGACUACUUCCAGUAGUUGGGGGGCUUUGGCUUCCUAGAGGCUCUGUCCCACACUGAGGUGGUUGGGUCGUCGUUUGACUAUGGGUCGAUAACUUCAAGCUAGCUCCAGCAAUUUUUGUGAAGGAAUAAAGGCCUUCGACGUGGCCCAUGUGGUUAAGCCCACUUGUAGGCCAAAACUAGCAGGGCUCAAAGUUCCAGUGCUAAAGCAGGCCGCUGCUGCUAUGGCCCCCAGCCCACCUGGCUGGGCUGCUAAGGCCCCCAGCCCUACUGGGUGGGCUGCUAUGGCCCCCAGCCCUACAGGGUGGGCUGCUAUGGCCCCCAGCUGGGUGAGCUCUGCUCUGUUUGCCGCUCAGAUUCUGCUCCUUUGAGUCGGUUAUAUAUUGAAAAAUACAAAACAGAAUAAUGUUCACUGCCCGGUUGGGCCUGGAAUGGAGUGGGUGUCUUUCCCAAUGUUGUCUUUACGACAACAUUGACAAUAAGUGAAAUGGACCUUCUGCUGUCUCCAAACCCCACUUACCAGCUUCUUAUGUAGGAGCUGUUUGUACAUCCCUGGUCUCCACAUGUCUGCGUGAUUGGAACAGUUUUCAAUGUAUACGUCUCCACAACACAUGUACACCAGGAGAUAAGUGAUCAGCCAAUCAAUAUCCAAUAUGUCUGUGAUGCGAAAUAGAGAAUACCAAUAUAUACUAUGAAGUGUUACAAGCUCUUAGUGGUGCAACGGUUCACGGGUUUCCCGUGAUCCGUACGGAUCAACCAUCACGGUUCGGGACGCAAGUGAUCCGCGGAUCAGCUGAUAAAAAAAAAAAAAGUUGUGCGUUGACGUGAUCAGCGCAUGUUUAGAGGACAAUUCCGGUAUCAACAACAUCAUCAAG